GGUCCCUUGGCCCAGUUGGUUAAGGCGUGGUGCUAAUAAGUUUUAACUGUUACGCCAAGAUCAGCAGUUCGAUCCUGCUAGGGACCA